GAUGAAGAACGUAGCGAAAUGCGAUACGUAGUGUGAAUUGCAGAAUUCAGUGAAUCAUCGAAUCUUUGAACGCACAUUGCACCUCUCGGUAUUCCGGGAGGUAUGCCUGUUCGAGCGUCAUUUGUACCCUCGAGCUCUGCUUGGUGUUGGGUGUUUGUUCCGCCUCUGUGUGUGAACUCGCCUCAAAACAAUUGGCAGCCGGCGUACUUGUUUCGGAGCGCAGCACAUUUUGCGAUCCAGAUCAACGUACAGCGGCAUCCAAGAAGCCUUAUUUAACGCUCUUGACCUCGGAUCAGGUAGGGAUACCCGCUGAACUUAAGCAUAUCAAUAAGCGGAGGA
rnacentral:misc_RNA from 1 species